CCGACCAGUGUUCUUUAUCGUCUCUCUCAGGUAGAUCACUCAUUGCUAUAAAUUUUCUUAUCUCCAGUGCUUUUCCAAUUAUGGAUAACAACAGAAAAGCAGUCAUUGGUUUCUAAAAGGUCAUCAAGAUAUAAGGCCCGAUUGGGAAAGGAAUGACUUAUGGAGUUGGCUUGUGUAAAUCUGGGAAGUUUUAUGCACAAGUCAGGCACAAAAUGACAUGGAUGCUGCUUGUGAAUUUAAAACCAAAGACAAUCAAGAUCUUGGAGAGAAAGAGAAGAUUCUUCCAGUGGCCGGGUGAGGAAGUUGCCUCUCAGCAAGGACAAAAGGGAAAUGAGGGAAAUUUUACAAGAAAAUUUUCAUUUUAGUUAAAAAGCCAUUUUCCACCAAAACAUUUUUCAGUGAAAAAAUUUGAACUGACUAAAAUACCCUGACCUCAGUCCUGAGGAACAGCCUAAAGCUGGAAACGGGGGAAGAAAUGGAGUAAGACAAGAAAUGAGGGUGAAAAAAUCAGAAGAGGACAGAGAAUUGGAGAGGAAAAGAAGCCGAAAAAAGGAAGCAAAACUAGAAGAUAGUCAAGAAGAGGGAGAAUUAGGCCAGGACGGGAAGAGGGAAAGCAAUCCAUGCAACAUAAAGAGCAGAAUGAAAUAAAACACAAGGAAGAGAGCA
rnacentral:lncRNA from 1 species